GAAACUUAAAGGAAUUGACGGGGCCCGCACAAGCGGUGGAGCAUGUGGUUAAUUCGAAGCAACGCGAAGAACUUACCAGGUCUUGACAUCCCGAUGCUAUUUCUAGAGAUAGAAAGUUACUCCGGUACAUCGGUGACAGGUGGUGCAUGGUUGUCGUCAGCUCGUGUCGUGAGAUGUUGGGUUAAGUCCCGCAACGAGCGCAACCCUAUUGUUAGUUGCCAUCAUUCAGUUGGGCACUCUAGCGAGACUGCCGGUAAUAAACCGGAGGAAGGUGGGGAUGACGUCAAAUCAUCAUGCCCCUUAUGACCUGGGCUACACACGUGCUACAACGGUUGGUACAACGAGUUGCGAGUCGGUGACGGCGAGCUAAUCUCUUAAAGCCAAUCUCAGUUCGGAUUGUAGGCUGCAACUCGCCUACAUGAAGUCGGAAUCGCUAGUAAUCGCGGAUCAGCACGCCGCGGUGAAUACGUUCCCGGGCCUU
rnacentral:rRNA from 1 species